rnacentral:pre_miRNA from 1 species
AUUGGCACUUUUGGAAUUGUCACCAGGCUCGACGUAUCGGGGUGUGUGUGUGUGUUGCGUGACAAUCUGAAAGUGUCGAACA